rnacentral:sRNA from 1 species
CAUGCCCCUUAUACGCUGGGCUACACACGUGCUACAAUGGGUAGUACAGAGAGUCGCAAAGCCGUGAGGUGGAGCUAAUCUCAGAAAACUAUUCUUAGUUCGGAUUGUACUCUGCAACUCGAGUACAUGAAGUUGGAAUCGCUAGUAAUCGCGAAUCAGCAAUGUCGCGGUGAAUACGUUCUCGGGUCUUGUACACACCGCCCGUCACACCACGAGAGUUGGUUGCACCUGAAGUAGCAGGCCUAACCGUAAGGAGGGAUGCUCCGAGGGUGUGAUUAGCGAUUGGGGUGAAGUCGUAACAAGGUAUCCGUACGGGAACGUGCGGAUGGAUCACCUCCUUUCUAAGGAGUAUAUGUCUUUCUCUAUUCUAUUGGUAAUGUUCUUAGAACAUUGCGCUGAACAUUGGAAACUAUAUAGUAGAACAAACAAGAAAAAAAAUUAACUCUAACAAUUUCUUAGAGUUAGCUGUCAAAAAAAAUAGGUUAAAAUAAUUAAGGGCACACAAAGGAUGCCUAGGUAGUAAGAGCCGAUGAAGGCACGUGGUAAGCUGCGAUAAGCCUAG